UCCUACAAGUAUCAGCAGGCAACUUGUCAAUAAAGCAUUCCUUUGGAGGAAAAUCGACAUCCAUUUGUUUGGUCUGUCUUUUAGGAUAAUGACAAAAGAUCAGAGUAAAUGCACAUGAUUCCUUGCUUUGAACGGGGACAAGCAGGAGAUAAUCAUGUAUAAAUUACAAGUCUUUGGUGUGCAUAUAAAAGGAAGGAAUUGUGUAGAAGCUGCAUCUCUGGGUAGUACCAAGAAUAUAUAUAUAUAUAUAUAUAUAUAUAUAUAUAUAUAUACCAGGCAUGUAGUAUGGGGGUUUGCAGUCUAUUAUCAGGUUUGGCUCCACUGAAGGGACCUUUUGUCCUGGUAAACUAGUUUUGCUGGCUUUUGCUGUGAGGCUGUGCCAGGACCUCAACUGGCAGAAGAGGGCAUUAGGAAGAUCAGCAUCUUAAGUACCACUGAGAGAAGACUGUUACCCCAUGGUACAAUAAUCCUUAGGAGGUAUGCUCUUAUUCUGCAGAUGAGGGGCCAUGUGAAAUAAUGAUGAGUAAUUGAAGACCUCAAUGAACAGGAUGGAAAUCAUUACAGAAAACUGAAACUGAUCAAAAUGCAGAGUUGUGGAGCCCAGUCCCCACUAAUAGAACUCCAACACGAGUCCUAAACCGAAGGCUCAGGGAUCAUUGUGCAAGAAGGGGAGGAAAAACUGCAACAACCAGAGGACCUUAGAGCAGUUUGCUCUAAGAUUUAUCUCCUUAAAAUGUCACAGAAGCUACAUCCAUGAAGUAACAUCUAACCAACAUGGCUACCUAACUAUGACCUGAACAAGGACAUCAGCUAAGCGUGGUGUAAGGGAGAAAGCCCACAAGGCCUCAAUCCUAGAUUAAUAAAUACAGUUGACUAAGGAA